rnacentral:rRNA from 1 species
AAGGAAUAUUGGUCAAUGGAGGGAACUCUGAACCAGCCAUGCCGCGUGCAGGAUGACUGCCCUAUGGGUUGUAAACUGCUUUUGUCAGGGAAUAAACCUUUCCACGUGUGGGAAGCUGAAUGUACCUGAAGAAUAAGGAUCGGCUAACUCCGUGCCAGCAGCCGCGGUAAUACGGAGGAUCCAAGCGUUAUCCGGAUUUAUUGGGUUUAAAGGGUGCGUAGGCGGUCCUAUAAGUCAGUGGUGAAAGACGGCAGCUUAACUGCCGCAGUGCCUUUGAUACUGUAGGACUUGAAUCUAUUUGAAGUGGGCGGAAUAAGACAAGUAGCGGUGAAAUGCAUAGAUAUGUCUUAGAACUCCGAUUGCGAAGGCAGCUCACUAAGUUAGUAUUGACGCUGAUGCACGAAAGCGUGGGGAUCAAACAGGAUUAGAUACCCUGGUAGUCCACGCCCUAAACGAUGAUAACUCGAUGUUUGCGAUACACAGUAAGCGUCCAAGCGAAAGCGUUAAGUUAUCCACCUGGGGAGUACGGUCGCAAGAUUG